GACCUUUUCAUUAAGCGCGAAGUCCCUAUAUAGGAUCCUGCCGGGUUCGCCCGGCUAUGGGGAUAAACGAAGGCGUGCAAUAGGCACAGCGGACCCGGGGGCAGUACCCGGCGGCUCCACCAUAAGUGGUGGUGUACUGGACACCGUUUCUGACGGGGCCGAACCAGGAUCGACGUGUGUUGAAAAGCGCUAUCUAUCUCUCAGCGUGGGCCACUGUGACGGUCCGCUACACAAGUGCCAACGAUAACGAAGCACUCGCUAUUGCGGCGUAACCCCACGGCCUAACGGCCUAAGGUUAUUCCAAGAUGCGCGGUUGGACCCCACCGGGCAACAGAAGGGGAUUCCA
rnacentral:tmRNA from 1 species